rnacentral:lncRNA from 1 species
AUUUGUCCAAAAAAAAAGUACAAAUGAAGUAAUGAGGUUACUUGAAGUUUUUCCCCCCCUUUUUUUCUUUUUAAAAUCUGUAGGUUGCAAUAAAAAUAAUUGACAAGACACGGUUAGAUUCUAGCAAUCUGGAGAAGAUCUACCGGGAGGUCCAGCUCAUGAAACUUUUGAACCACCCAAAUAUCAUCAAGCUUUAUCAGGUGAGCCGAAGGACCCUCGCCGCACCGUGAGCACAUCCAUCCUUCCACAUGUCACACCCUGAGCCUUCUUGGGUCCCUGAAGGUAGUCAGCGUUUCUAAGGCUGUGUGGGAACUGAACACAGAGUACAAAGUAACUAGGUUGACCUUCACUGGGCUCUGCAGCUUUAUUGACUGUUAGUCUCUUGCUCUGGGUUCUACUUGAUUUUUGCCUCGUUCCAAUUUUAUCUAGUAUUGUAAUGUGUUCCAGUUUUGCACAUGUUGAAGUCCGUUGUUGAAGUCCUGUCACUGUGAGGAUAGCCAUAUGUAUGUACGGUCAGGCUUGAGUGAAGGACAAACUUGAGCGAAACUGGAAACUUCCGCCUUUGCAGAGGAUUGCUAAACGUUUAAAAAGCAGCUGUUCUUUCCCAGGUCUCCUUAAAGUGUCUUGGGGUGCAGUAGCCCUCGUCUCCCGAGUGUAGCCCGGAGUGCUGGGGGAAGCAAGGGAGAUACUUCAGCCCUAUGAACUUGCCAUUUAAGCUGGGCUGAGGACAUGCCGCACCCGUUUCUGUCUUUUGUUUCCUGACGGUCUUCCUCAAUCUGCCUUGUGAUAACUGGCCACUUCUGCUGCCGUGAAAUAGCUCAAUGUAUAGAGGAGCCAGCCCUCGUGGUGUUGUUAUUGUUGUAUCUGCUUGUGUUGGUGUGUAAGUCCUGUCAGUGACUCUCAGGAUCCUCAUGAGCCUGAGGUGACUCCAAGGGACAGUUGGAAAAGCUGUGUUUAUGGUUCAGGAGGGGAAAGAACUGUAAUUUAAAAUUACCCUGGCCAGUCCUUCUCAGAACAAAGGCAGACAAGUCUCCGGAGUUUGUGUUUGGCCUGUGGUGACGGCUCCCUCGGAAUCUCUUAAGCACAGAGCCUAGGGCUGUGCACUCAGGGGUUGUCCAUUAUUUCAAUCUUCAUCUCUAAGUUGUACUCGAAGACAGGUUUCCUCCGGGGCCAGUGCUUGAGAGAGGGGGCUGGGAAGGGUAGACUCCUAUGCUCCUGUCUGUUUGUGGACGCCAGUCUAUGCUGUCUUAGCACCCUCUUCCUGCCUUCCACUUGCCCACCGGGUUAGGUAGGCUCUUACCACUGAGGAAAUGUUACCCGGGCGAUGGAUGUCAGAGUGGAUAUUUUAGCUCCUGUCUUCAGUGACUCAGCUUUCACGAUUGAGUGGGCUGCUGAAGCCAACUGGUACUCUGGUCUUGAUACUGGUGUCUAGCAUUCAUUCACCUGACCUCUGACCCCAGAGUCCUGCUGAGGCAUCCCGUUCUCUCCUUUGGGUGGGGGUGGGGAGUGUUUGUCUGGUUGCGGCUGUUGAGAUAGGGUCUUGCAAUGUAGCUAGCUGCUCUAGCUGGCCCUGGUGCUCUCUGUGUCCUGAUGGCCUUAGACUUGGGGCAGUCUCCUGCUGUAGUCUCUGAUGACAGAUGUAUAUCAACACAGUUGGUUUAUUUUGGGUCUUGAAACGUUAAAAGAUAUAGACGCUAAGUUUGUUUUCCUUCUCCCUUUCUUCUGUGUAGAAAAGGCCUAAGCAGAGGUCUUCUGCUGCACUGUGGGGAGGGGGACAAUGGCUGAAAUUUUAGCUGAAUUGCUACGGUUUUUAAUAACACAUUUCUUAGUAAAAUUUAUGACUCAAAAAGCGUCUUUAAAGUAUCUUCUAAAGGAAUAACAGCAUGUCUUAAACCCAAAGAAAUCUUUCUUUCUAUUGCAAUACAGUCUCUUUCUCUCCCUGAGAUGUUUUCUUCCUUUAUUUGUUGUAUUGGGACAGUUUCACUACGUAGACUGACUGGGCUAGGACUUGCUAUGUAGACCAGGCUGGCCUUGAACUUCCGGUAAUUUUGCCUCUGCCUCCAGAGUGCUGGGAUUACUGGUGUAUGCCACCAUACCUGGCUCCCCUGGAAUAUUUAACCUAUGCGUAUGCAUAAGUGUAAUUUUGAUUUGUUUCAGAACC